UAGGGAAUAUUGGACAAUGGGUGAGAGCCUGAUCCAGCCAUGCCGCGUGCAGGAAGAAGGCGUUAUGCGUUGUAAACUGCUUUUUGCCAGGGGAUAAAAAGACCGUGCGCGGUUAAUUGAAGGUACCUGGUGAAUAAGCCACGGCUAACUACGUGCCAGCAGCCGCGGUAAUACGUAGGUGGCAAGCGUUGUCCGGAUUUAUUGGGUUUAAAGGGUCCGUAGGCGGUUAGAUAAGUCAGUGGUGAAAGCCCAUCGCUCAACGGUGGAACGGCCAUUGAUACUGUCUGACUUGAAUUAUUAGGAAGUAACUAGAAUAUGUAGUGUAGCGGUGAAAUGCUUAGAGAUUACAUGGAAUACCAAUUGCGAAGGCAGGUUACUACUAAUGGAUUGACGCUGAUGGACGAAAGCGUGGGUAGCGAACAGGAUUAGAUACCCUAGUAGUCCCUGAGCGGGCUGGCAAGGCGCAU
rnacentral:rRNA from 1 species